UACGGAGGAUCCGAGCGUUAUCCGGAUUUAUUGGGUUUAAAGGGUGCGUAGGCGGUUUGAUAAGUUAGAGGUGAAAUGUCGGGGCUCAACCCCGAAACUGCCUCUAAUACUGUUGGACUAGAGAAUAGUUGCGGUAGGCGGAAUGUAUGGUGUAGCGGUGAAAUGCUUAGAGAUCAUACAGAACACCGAUUGCGAAGACAGCUUACCAAACUAUAUCUGACGUUGAGGCACGAAAGCGUGGGUAGCAAACAGG
rnacentral:rRNA from 1 species